UUUAGGGAGAGUCGAUCUUAUCACCGCCGGUGAUGUUUAGAGGUGAUAUUUCUGGCCGAAAACUCUGUCAAAGGUAUAGAAAGUGAUGAAAGUAGCAGUCUAGAUCGGUGGCUUAAAAAUAAGAUCCAGAAAUUCAGGAGAAGAUGCUGAAGAUGAGGAAUUUCCAGUGGAGGAGUCUGCAGCUUCCAUAUUUGAUUACCCUUUGGGGCUUCUUACAAGUAUCACUGUGACAACAGUGGAAGGGACUACUGGCACAUCAGAGAUGGAGCAGUCAGCAUCUGCUUCUGUGCACAAAGUAAAAGUUGUGGCCCCAUGCAACACUGGUUCUGGAGCAUCAUCAUCCGAGCUUAGUGGGGGAAGAGCAGGAUUGUCAGAACUCUGUUGCUGGAAGACAGCAGUGACAACAGUGAGUCUACAUUGUAAUGAAAGACCUUCAGCAGAGGCAUGUAGCCAAUAUGAUGUAGGGCAAAAUAACUGAUCUGGAAAACUUUGACCUGUCUGAGUGGUAGAGCAUCUGACGUAUUUGCCACUAUUUGCUUCUUUUCAUUUGAAAGAAGCCCUUAUAACUCAGUGCUACUGUUCUGGCUUGGCAAAUCAUGUUCAUACAGCAUGACUUUUGACAUGGUUUAUAAAAGAAGUGAAGAAUACUUGUGAAUUGUGCUGACAUAAAGUUGAUAUCAAGAAAAAGGGGAAACCUUAUGCUGAGGGGCAUAGACCAGAAGAUAAGCCAACCCCCAUAAUCUGGUUCACUGUAUUUGUUGUUGGACUUUUCCUUAAUGUGUUCUCCAUCUCUGUGAGUGC